GGCCGAGUAGGCGGCGAGCUGUAACCUCGUGCACGGGCAAAAAAAGAGCCCCCCAACCAG
rnacentral:tRNA from 1 species